rnacentral:rRNA from 1 species
AGGUGCGAAAGCAGGUCAUAGUGAUCCGGUGGUUCUGAAUGGAAGGGCCAUCGCUCAACGGAUAAAAGGUACUCCGGGGAUAACAGGCUGAUACCGCCCAAGAGUUCAUAUCGACGGCGGUGUUUGGCACCUCGAUGUCGGCUCAUCACAUCCUGGGGCUGAAGUAGGUCCCAAGGGUAUGGCUGUUCGCCAUUUAAAGUGGUACGCGAGCUGGGUUUAGAACGUCGUGAGACAGUUCGGUCCCUAUCUGCCGUGGGCGCUGGAGAAUUGAGGGGGGCUGCUCCUAGUACGAGAGGACCGGAGUGGACGCAUCACUGGUGUUCGGGUUGUCAUGCCAAUGGCACUGCCCGGUAGCUAAAUGCGGAAGAGAUAAGUGCUGAAAGCAUCUAAGCACGAAACUUGCCCCGAGAUGAGUUCUCCCUG